rnacentral:rRNA from 1 species
AUUGAACGCUGGCGGCAUGCUUUACACAUGCAAGUCGAACGGUAACAGGCCGCAAGGUGCUGACGAGUGGCGAACGGGUGCGUAAUGCAUCGGAACGUGCCCAGUCGUGGGGGAUAACUACUCGAAAGAGUAGCUAAUACCGCAUACGACCUAUGGAUGAAAGCGGGGGACCGUAAGGCCUCGCGCGAUUGGAGCGGCCGAUGUCAGAUUAGGUAGUUGGUGGGGUAAAGGCUCACCAAGCCAACGAUCUGUAGCUGGUCUGAGAGGACGACCAGCCACACUGGGACUGAGACACGGCCCAGACUCCUACGGGAGGCAGCAGUGGGGAAUUUUGGACAAUGGGCGCAAGCCUGAUCCAGCAAUGCCGCGUGCAGGAAGAAGGCCUUCGGGUUGUAAACUGCUUUUGUACGGAACGAAACGGCUCUGGUUAAUACCCGGGGCUAAUGACGGUACCGUAAGAAUAAGCACCGGCUAACUACGUG